rnacentral:rRNA from 1 species
GACGAACGCUGGCGGCGUGCCUAAUACAUGCAAGUCGAGCGCAGGAAACUGACGGAACUCUUCGGAGGGAAGGCAGUGGAAUGAGCGGCGGACGGGUGAGUAACACGUAAGGAACCUGCCUCAAGGAUUGGGAUAACUCCGAGAAAUCGGAGCUAAUACCGGAUAGUUCAACGGACCGCAUGGUCCGCUGAUGAAAGGCGCUCCGGCGUCACCUUGAGAUGGCCUUGCGGUGCAUUAGCUAGUUGGUGGGGUAACGGCCCACCAAGGCGACGAUGCAUAGCCGACCUGAGAGGGUGAUCGGCCACACUGGGACUGAGACACGGCCCAGACUCCUACGGGAGGCAGCAGUAGGGAAUCUUCCACAAUGGACGAAAGUCUGAAGGAGCAACGCCGCGUGAGUGAUGAAGGUUUUCGGAUCGUAAAACUCUGUUGUAAGGGAAGAACACGUACGAGAGGAAAUGCUCGUACCUUGACGGUACCUUACGAGAAAGCCCCGGCUAACUUCGUGCCAGCCGCCGCAGUAAUAC